GUGCUUGCUUCAGCAGCAUGUAUACUAAAAAUUAGAAUGAUGCAGAGAAGUUAGCAUGACCCCUGUGCAGCGAUGACACACAAAUUCGUGAAAAAAAAAAAAAAAGC
ensembl:snRNA U6 U6 spliceosomal RNA